CAGGGACUACAACUGCUGCAGGAAGCAGAGAGAGCAGACAACACGGCCGCGGAGCAGGUGGACUCGCAGGAGAGCCUGGAGCUCCAGUCUCCCAGCAACACCAGUCUGUGGCUCUUACUGGGAGAGAGGACGGUCCAGACACAUGGAGACAUGGACAGUGGACCAAAGAGUGGAAGUAUGGAAUUUCGGACGCAGCUCUUGGGGACAGAAGGUGGCAGGAACACGGCAGACGGAGGUGUGGACGAAGCAGACGUCGAUGGACAGGUGAACGAGUCUCUGCAGCUGUGGGACGACAGCAUGGAGGGGACAAACCGCCUCACGUUCCACCUAUCUGGUUACCAUGAGAACGAGGGGGGGCUAGACCUACACUUAUGAGUCAAGCCACGCCCCCUUGUGGGCGUUGUGAAUGUUCAGGAUGUGUAGUUUAUCAACUGUGUGGUGAAUAAACAUUGUAACCAAUCACCUAACGGUUGAGUAGUGAGA